UCAACCCUCAAGCCCCCUUUGGCUUGGCUUUGGACGGUCUGGUCAGGCGGCUGACCCCUCCUAAAGACAAUGACGGCGGCGUCGUGGGACCCCCGGUACACUGAGCUUCUUCAUUGAGCACGUAUCGGAUUAGGGACCCCGGGCCCCGGUCAGCUUUUCUCUUGGUGACGAGAGAAAAAACCCCCUCUAA
rnacentral:misc_RNA from 1 species